AAGGGAUAGCCUCGGGGAAACCGUGAUGGAUACCAUAUGACACAUCAUAAGGCAUCUUAAGAAUGGUAAACUACGGCGGUAAGAGAUGGGCUCGCGUCCCAUUAGCUAGUUGGUGAGGUUACGGCCCACCAAGNCGGCGAUGGGUAACCGGCCUGAGAGGGUGAACGGUCACAUUGGAACUGAGACACGGUCCAAACUCCUACGGGAGGCACAUGGGGAAUAUUGCACAAUGGAGGGAACUCUGAUGCAGCGACGCCGCGUGAGCGAUGAAGGAAUUCGUUUCGUAAAGCUCUGUUCUAUGGGAAGAAAAGGACGGUACCAUAGGAGAAAGCCCCGGCUAAAUACGUGCCAGCAGCCGCGGUAAUACGUAUGGGGCGAGCGUUGUCCGGAAUUAUUGGGCGUAAAGGGUACGCAGGCGGUUUACCAAGUUGGAUGUGAAAUCUUGUAGCUCAACUACAAACGUGCAUCCCAAACUGGCUAACUUGAGUUAAGGAGAGGUAAGUGGAAUUCCUGGUGUAGCGGUGGAAUGCGUAGAUAUCAGGAGGAAUACCGGUGGCGAAGGCGACUUACUGGACUUAUACUGACGCUGAGGUACGAAAGCGUGGGGAGCAAACAGGAUUAGAUACCCUGGUAGUCCACGCCGUAAACGAUGAGUGCUAGGUGUCGGGGGUCAAACCUCGGUGCCGACGUUUACACAUUAAGCACUCCGCCUGGGGAGUACGUGCGCAAGC
rnacentral:rRNA from 1 species